CUGUUUGGUGGCUGCUGACCUUGCUGGUAUAGUCAUUGCUUGUUUCUCCAUUGAUUCUUGCUUCCGCAUCCGUUGUAACCUUCUUUUUUGAGUAUGAGAUAAGCCUGAGGGACACCACCUCGGCUGCAGGUAUUUUGAAUCUUCCUUGCUAUCUUUCUUACCACCUUUAGUAACAAAAGGGUGCACUUUUAACCAGAUUAUUGCUAGCAACAAUUGGUCUUUGUAAUGAACCACAGUUUGAAUAUACAGAAGAAUAUGAAGCAAUACAUGGUUGCAUAUAGAAACCCUUAUGAUCAGGAGGUGAAUAAUAGUAGGGGUAUGGCCAAGACCAUGGCGUAGUCAGCCAAAAAGGUGUAUGUAAUGCAGCAGCAUAGUUUGCAUGAUAUUCACAAGAACAAGACAGAUUUUGAUUUUUACCUUUAUUAUGCCGACUCCCUUGUUUCUGACUAGAUGCUUUCUUCUCAUAUUUGGCCAACAGAUCCUUGAAAGUCAGCUUUGCCUUAUUCUUCAGAUCUCACUUGGCUCCAGAUUUUUUAGGAUGACCGGUCAGACCGGUUCCCUAACCGGUCAGACCGGUCUAUGCAGAACCGGUAGCCUUGCUUUUGCCUUGCCCCCUGAGCAUAGAAGUCUUUGCUGUGACUUGAGGCACCUUUUUCUCAGGUCUUCCUUCACCAAUAAUCACAUUCUUCCCUUUAUCCUUUUCGGCUUGAUCCGGCCGAAUUAGCACUUUAGGAUUUGUCAACUCAAGAGUAUUCACCGAAAAAGGAUUUUGAUCAACUUGCAUUUCAUGAAAAGUCAAACGACCUUCAUUAAUGGCCGAUUGUAUUUGCCGGCGAAACACAUUGCAAUCAUUAGUGGCAUGUGAGAAAGUAUUAUGGAACUUGCAAUAUGCUUUCGUCUUCAACUCUUCAAACGGAGGCAUAGUAUGAGAAAUUUUUAGGUGCCCAAGUUUAAGCAACUCGUCAAAAAUCCUAUCGUACUUGGCUACAUCAAAAGUAAAUUUCAUAUCUUCUUGCCAAUUCUUUCGGACCGGCUUGAGAGAAGCAUAAGUACCAGGUUUACCCUUGUGGGGCAAUACAAACUUAGCGGUUAAAACAUCAUUGCUCUCAUCGUCCGAGGAAUCAUAAUCUAACAUCUGCAUGUUAGGAUGAUCAGAUUUGAGCCGACUAUCUUUAGUUCGGCUUUCCUAAGCCAAAGCUCUUUGCAAGACUUGGGUAACAUUAGCAAAUUCAUGACCUUCCAAUUUAUCUCUAAUAUAGGAUCGCAAUCCAUUAAAAGCUAAUUCAGCAAGAUUCCUCUCAGAGAUGACAAGACUAUAACAACGGUUUUUUACAUCUCCGAACAUUCUGAUAUAAUCAGCAGUAGACUCAUCAGGCUUUUGCUUAACCAAUGUUAAAUGACUCAAUCUUAACUCAUCAUCUCCACUAUAAAAGUGGUCAUGAAAUUUUUGUUCUAAUUGUACCCAAGUAUGAAUAGAAUUAACAGGUAAUGAAGCAAAUCACGAGAAAGCGGUUCGAGUUAAAGAUAAAGAAAAUAACCGUACUUUUAAUUCUUCUACAGAACCAGCUUCUCCUAAUUGAGCAAGAUAUUGGCUAAUAUGCUCCCAAGUGGUUUUGCCAUCAUCCCCACUAAACUUCACAAAUUCAGGACAACGCCAACCAGAAGGAUAAGGAGCUGAAUCAAAACUCAAAGGAUACGACAUUUGAUAGGUAUGGGUUUUAUGCUUCACCUCUAUUCCAUAAUCUUCCUUCAUUUGUUUAGCGAGAUUGGCAUGAAACCUAUCAAGAACUUCUUGAAUAGUGGUUGGCGGAGGCAAUUGUGGUGUAAGAGCAUUCGAUUGCAACACAUUCUGUUGUAUAGGUGGACUAUAAACAUUCUGUUGCAAACGGCUAUUGAAUUGGGAAUCAGGCAUGGAACCAUAUGAACUACCCAACCCAAAAGGCACCGUAGGUGGAGCGCUAUAAGCUGCUGUAGGAUAUGGAUUUAAAACUCCAGGAAUCUCACCAGAUCGGCUAGAGAUAGCUUGAACGGGAGGUACAACAGCUAUAGGCUCAGGAGACGACACAUACAGGACCAAAGCACCCUGACCGGUCUGACCAGUUAGACCAUGCGGUCUGACCGGUUGAUACUGACCAGAUCGAGGUAGAGGUGAUUGUCCCACAAAGUAGUUCAACAGUAUGCCAUACUGAGGCCCCGCUAUGGGUGUUGCCGAUGUACUAUUAGAUGGGAUCUGAGGUGGUACAGGAUUAGAAACAGAUGCAACAUCAUUGCCCUCCUCCACACGUUUACCAUUAGCCUUAUCUACCAUAUCUUGCACACUCUCAUUUAUCGAUAAGCGCAGAUUGUCAAUUACGGUAGUAAGAUCAACCAUGGUAACAAAAGGAGAUGGCAGUGAUGAUGUGCUCACAUUGGUUUGUACCUCAGGUGGUAGAGUGCUGAAAGCGUUGUUGGAGGUAGAAGCGAAGUCGAUCUCCUUAAUCUUCUUGACCGCGCCUCUUCGGUCGACUUCAAAGCUCACAAUUGCGGCUCGCAAGUCUUCCUCAUCGUGCUUCUUCUUGCACUCCUCCAACAUCUGGCAGAUCUCUUCAGGAAGUUGCUCGAAUGUCGGGUUGACCACGUUCUUUAUAGUAACAUUGGAAAGAUCUUCUUCACCGACCAUUGCAACCGAUGUGUCUUUCUUCUUCUUCCCCAGCGGAGUCGCCAAAAUGUGUUGACACUUUUUUGGGCCAACACAUGAACGCACACGACCGUGCGGCAUGCGGAGGGGCUCGCUACAGCACCUCGGCGCAGGCCGGUCUGACCGGUUUAGGGAUCGGUUUGACCAGUUAUCGGGCAAGCCGACGGUAGACCUUCGAACGCUCGUCGGGGAAGGAUCCCGUCGGGGCAGGCGCAAGCAGGGUUGCUCUAGGAUUGGCAGGCCACCUAGAGCGCCUUCAGACAUCGUCGAGACGAAGGAAGAACAGCAGGUAGUAGAUUGGAAAAGCUAGGGUAAAAGAAUAAAGAAAAAGACGAUAAAUAGUAGAUUGGUUGUUGUCGAUUGGGUUGGAUGUCCUCAAUCGGCCGAAUCCCUUUAUAUUUACAGGGAGGGAAGAUCUUCCCCACGCAGGAGUCGAAACCCUAAUACAACUCGUGCUAAACUACAACUCCUACUCGGAUUACACAGAGCCAGACUGGUCAGACCGGCCUGGGCAACCGGUCUGACCGGGUGCAGAUCUUGUGAAGGUCGUAUCUCCCUCAUCCGAACUCCAAAUCGGACGUUCUAUAUAUUAAUCUUGAUCUAUUCGAUGAGGUCUACACAAUGGUGGAGUCCAAUCUUCAUUUGGAGCACCUUGAUCCAACCGGUCUGACCGGUGGGGUUAACCGGUCUGACUUGUCUGCACAGGGUGCUGAUCUUCCCGAGGGCAUAACUCUCUCAUCCGAAGUCCAAAUUAGACGUUCCAUAUAUGAAUUUCAAUCAUAUCAACGAAAGCUACGCCAUGGUGAAGUCCAAUUUGUAUUUUGGAAACUUUUCUCGAAUCGGUCUAACUGGUUGGGAGACCGGUCUAGACAGGUCUGAUCGGAUCUUCUAAGUCCUGCCACUUUUGGGCGUCAACACAUAGUCAUCUAAAUCAUCCAAUGCAUUUAUGAUCUUUUUUUUAAAGGAAACCUUUAUGAGCUUCCAUCGAGUGAUUUCAAACUGUCGUGUCUGUAAGCUAUACCCUAAUAGCUUGGUGUUCAUAAUUAUAAUACGUGGGCAUCAGAAAAGAUGAGCAUGCUUAUGGGUUCCUUAGACUGCAUGCUUGACGGCUGACUAGCUAGCCGUGUGUGCUCCGCCGAGAUUGACUGCUGACGGUGGAGCAACAAGCAAUUUGCGAAGAAAGUGAAUGUGGACUAGAUCAAAAGUACCACUGCCCUUUGGUUGGACAGAGAAAAACUAGAUGGGAUGGGAUGGUUUGAAAAUUGUGGACCCAACUAAGGGUUUGUUUAGGUAGUAGUGGAUCAAAGUGAAAUGAAAGGAAUAGGAGGGGAAACUAGUUCAUUUUAGACUCAAUCCCUUUCGUUCCACUCCCAUCAUCAUCUAUCAAAUAAGUCCUAAACGAAUGUACGAAAUACCAUGUAAUCGAGAUGGCAAUGUGCCCAAAUGUCCAGUCUACGUGGAGCACAUUUUCUCUUCUUAGCCCGGCCAUCUUCUAUUCUUCUUGACUGGAGAGAGAUGCCUUCACGAGAGAAGCGCUCGCCAAAAGGUGUCCCGCUAGCAAGGCUGCAACCAGCGCGCAACUCAGCAUCUCCCAGAAAGGCCUCCCGCCUCCGCCUCUCCCUUCGAUUGCAAUGGCAUCUCUCGUACGCCGAAUCGCUUUAAAGCCCAUCGUCCUCGUCCUGCCGUCCACGUAGCACGCACAGGCGCCACUGCCGCCAUACGCGCGCCUAUGCCGCUGCCGAGCACGUAGACGUCUCCCUCUCCCCAGCCUUUUUUCCUCACGAGCACAGUGCCCGUCAACCCAGCUGGUGGCGCUUUCGACCGGGUUGAUGAGGGCUAUCGACGAACCUCGCCGAGGUUUCGCUUCGAUUUCGGCCCUCCCAAGGAAUUGAACGACCCGCAUCUCCCCUCCGGUCGACGUAUCCGGCAUCACAUCGGCGGCGGUAGCCACCAGAUCGGAAAAUCGCGGCUGCUCUCUUUUGGUGAUUCGGCGGGUUGCUUAUCAGGAAGCGUCGGCUUGCGGCAUAUUCCGCUUUGCGAGUCCACUACCAAAGCUUUGUGCCGCCACCGCCACGCACGAUGACGUCGACGGAUGCGCGCCAAAGGUGGUGACCACUGACAAGUCGUGCACCGAAAUAUUGGCCUGUCCCCGAUAAUGGCAUGCUCGGCAAAUCUUCUUCAGUUCAGUCAAAAGCAGGCGAAGUGGCGGCCUCGGGAGCUCCCAUGUAGCUAGUGGAAGCUAGAUAAGUAACCUAGCUUUAAAGCCCAUUAGCCCAUUUAGAAGUUUAAGUUAACAUUUUAGCAAACUAGUUUCAACGUUUUUCAACAGUUGAUCAACAUAUAAAAUUAACAGAUUUAACAUUUUUUUAAAAAUAUAGAUCAACAUUUUGUAAUAAAAAUACUACAUUCAACAUUUUUAACUACCUGCUUCAAAAUUUUGAUAAACUGGAUUCAACAUUUUUGUUUUUUUCUUUUUCAACCUCCGACGCGCAGGAUGCGUGGAUUCAACAUUUUUGUUUUUUUCUUUUUCAACCUCCGACGCGCAGGAUGCGGCCGCAGGCAUGCGUGGUGGCUGGGGCGCUCGCGGCGGAGGCCCGCGCGCCCGCAGGGUGCGGCUAGCCUCGGGGCUCCGGCGUGCAGGGGAGGCGGCGCGGACGGCCAGCGGUGAGCAGGGGCAGGCUGCGGCGGCGGCGGUGGCGGCGGCCGGCAGCGUCAGGUGGAGGUGUGGAGUUAGGGUUAAGGAUGUGGGUUGCAUCCAACCAAGGAAAUUGUUCACACGAAUCUCAGACAGUGAAAGUUGGAUAAAAAAACUUCCGGAAGCGUUUCCCGGCGGCCUCGGCACCGUAACGUCGUGGGUCAGAUUUCUUCCCACGUGCACGGUCGGCCCAGUUCAGUUACCCCGGCGGCGCUCAAGGUCUGGCCCAGUACUUCUUCUGCGGCACCAAAUCUAGCCCAGUGUCUCUUUUCAGUGGAAGAAAACUGGCCUGGUACGGAUUAAGGCCGAAUUAAGGCGUCAUCACUUGCAGGAUUAUACCUAGGCCAGCCAGAAGAACAUGGGACUGGAAGUGGCAAAUGGCAAAUGAAACUUGGUGAGUUGGUGUUGGGUCUCUUGUGCAAACUGCAAACUGAUAGUGUCACAUCCCCUUCAGACUCUGAAGCCUGCUGCUGUGCUGCAAAGUUCAUCGAGGCAUGAGUGCAUGACUGGGGUACUACCGUACUGCUCUGUAGAUUCCUUAUGCACGUACACCAUGGUAUUGGAUACUAUUAGGUAAUAUUCGGAACCCUUGAAACAAGAAUCAGUGCUGUGGACCUACUUUUGAAGGCACGAGGGAAAAGUAAACACUUCGUUAGUUGAACAGUGCACGGAGCAAUUCUUGACAGUUGACACGCAACGACCCAGAACGGAUCAGGGAAGCGGCCCUGUCCUUGUCGGUCGAGAAGGCUGGACGAGGAGUCCAGAACAAGUGACAACUGACAACCGGCCGGCCCUUAGCUAAGACCUCGAUUCGCACUGUAGCUACUCCGGUCAGUAUCUCCGAUGGCGAGCAACCACCAUCACGAGUUCACGACGGUGAGGCUUCAGUAGCCGACCAGCCGGCUGCCGGGUGUCACGGCUUGUCACCAAGCAACACAAGUAUUCGCAGGGACUCUCCCCCCAUCCCUGUCUGCCCACGCCGCGGCCGGCCGACCCGUCUGACCGCAGAGCUGCCGCCACCUCCGCCGCCACGAGCAUCGCUGGAAACCACCGUAUCCGUAUCAGCGUCAAGAGGCACUGUCUCGACGUACAUCGGCGAAGCUCGACGGCACUCGGCAGUGCUGUGCUGCCGCUGCCCGUCUCCUCUCCUGGACCUUUACUUUACCCUUUACCUCCGAGGCUAAGCAAGUUUAUUCGUGGGGCCCAGACGCACGUGUCCGUCCACGAUUCGCGUCACGACCCCGUCAGGGCCGUCCCACGUCUCGUCGAGGGGGUAGAAAAAGGGAAAGGGCCCGCGCGACGCCAAUGGCCACGUCGAAAUUUCAAAUACGCACCGAGCGCGCCACGGCUUUGCCCCACACACACAGUACAUGACUUGACAGACAUCCGAACCGGGCCCGCUCGCAGCUGCCUGCCUGCCCCACCCACUACCGCACCGCCCAGGGCCCAGGUCGGGUCCCAACCGGCCACGUCCGAAACCUAUGCGCCUAAGCAAGCCACUAAGCCAAACCCAGCGCGAAUCAUUAGCGGCGCGCGGGGAGGAGGCGCGGACCCUUAACCUUAUAAGACCAGGCGCGGGGAUGCUCCUAACCACGCUCACCAAACCCCCCGCGCCAUCCCAGUGAACUCACCAACCAAGCAGCACAGACUUGCCGCGGACACCCGCGACACGCCGAGGACUAGCGAGAGGAGCGCAGCGCGCGCGAGCGUCGAGUUUAUUUGUCGGAGCAGCCAGCGAGCGGCCAUGUCGAUGUCGUCGAUGAAGGCGAGCGACCCGGGGUCCGCGUGGUUCGGCAGCGGCGCCCGGACCCCGCCGGCGGGGAUGGGCGGCGGCCACAACGUGCGGCUCAUCACCACGGCCGUCGCGGCGUUCGUGUCCGUGCUCGGCCUCGCCCUCUUCCUCCACCUCUACGUCUGCCACGUCCGCCGCCGGAACCGGCGCCGCGCCGCGGCAGCCGCGGCCGUGCUGCCGACCACGACCGCCGCUGCGGCGAAGUGCGGGCUGGACCCCGCGGCCAUAGCGGCGCUGCCGACCGCCGUGUACGGCGGGGAGGCGGGCGGCGAGCCGGGCGCCUGCACCGAGUGCGCCAUCUGCCUCGGCAACGUGCAGGAAGGGGAGGUCGUGAGGGCGCUGCCCGCCUGCGGCCACGUGUUCCACGUCCCCUGCGUCGACACGUGGCUCGCGUCAAGCUCGUCGUGCCCGGUCUGCCGCGCCGAGGUGGAGCCGCCGCCGAUGGAGGAGGGCGCGGCUCGGCUGGUGCAGGAGAAGCUGCAGGACGCCGUGAAGGAGGAGGCGGGCAGCUGCAGCUCGACGCCGGAGCGCGGGAUCAGUGCCUGCGCGUCGCUGAUGAAGAUGCUGAGCAGGGAGAGGCCGGCGCCGCGGAGGCCACAGAGCGCCGUCCAUGCCGACGACGGGGAGCUAGACGACUUGGAACGUCAGCUGCAGGCAGUGAAUAAUUAAUCUAUUUAUUCUUUUUAAUUUGGUAAUUUUCCUCAUCAUUUGUACAUCCCGCACUUGCGUGAGUGGAGAAGUACUAAGAGAAGUGUGUGAGCUCCUCAUUUUUUUAAUGGAUGUAUGGGCUCAUUGGGAAAGAAGUGAUAUGGUUCCAAUCUACAGUUUAUUUUGUUCAAGUGUGAACAAAAUCCUAAAUUUUCCGGUUUAUCCACCCUUUAACUCAGGUAAUGAUGCUUAGCAGCAGUGGAUGAAGCUUGCAAUUUCCUCUUGUGCCCGUAAACAAGGCGAGUGGAUAAAGCUAAGCUAAAAGUUUUACCAGCAAAGUGGUUCCCACUAGGCAUAUGUGUCUUAAAGAUGACAUUGAUAUGUGGCAACAUGGAUUGACGCCUAUACGUAGAUCCUAAAAUAUAUAGGAAUUAAUUAAGAUGUGUCUAGAACAUAUGAAAACACAUUCCUUCCCGCUUUCCUCUUCCCUACUCUCGCAGUCUCACUCAACCAACUGGCACAUUUGUCUUUUUGUUGCAUGAUGUUGUCUCUCAAACUUCACUCUAUUUUGGUCCCCUCGAGGUUUUAGGUAAAGAACGUCACUUUUUUUUUUGCACGCCUUUAUCCUAUUUUUUUAUUUUUCAGAGUCCAAAAUUUUCUGCUGUAGGUACAAAUUAUCUAUUUUCUACGGGUCUCAUAAUUUAAAGUCUAUUUACUUGAAAUCUAAAAUUAUUUAACACGACUCAACUACAAACAAGUUUCACGUUUAUUUGUUGAGUAGAAAAAUGGUUUAAGGUCCCAGACAGUUUUUAAGCUCACCUUUGCAAGUGACGGUGCAUGACAGGAAUGCUCUUAUGAGAUGAGCCAAGUACAUUCUCCGAACCUGCAAUCAUCACAUCACUACAGUAUCCUAUGUUUUUUAGUUUAAAAAAAGUUAGAAAAUGCAUUAGUGCCGUCUAAUAGGUGCAUUGACAUGUAAUCUUGAGACGACUCAACAGUCAACCCGUACAAUGAGUUGUCUUAUAAGUUGUCUAGUAUAGUUAUAUAAUUUCUUAAUUUGUGCAUAUGAAAAAGAAAAUAUUAUGAGUUGCAUGGCCAUAAUAACUCGUACAAAUGGUUGUUGAGUUAUCUCGUAGUCCUACAAUUUAGCUCAUGAAACAACGAUCUUUUUCUAUCUCCUUGUUCUCUUCCACAUUAUCAAAAAUCCUACGUGACACUGCAUGAGACGACCUAUAAAACUGCUGACGUGUAGUAAUAUACUUGCUCUUGCUCGUCCACAAAGGUUCGCAUAGAAAAGACAACUAGAAAAGCAGUCCUGUCAUUUUUACCGAGGCUAAAGAAAACAACGGUGGAUGAACAUCAUGCGGCAUUCCGGAUAAGCUUACUAUAGUGUGGAAGCGCCCACUCACGGAACGGAAGCUGCGAAUGCUCAAGUUGACCCUCGUGCCCAUUCCAACUUUCCGCUGCCACGCACUGCCCUGCCGUUCGCCCCGUUCCCAUAGAGUAUUCGCGCACGGAGCGAUCACAUUACAGGUGCCGGUUCUCACGUAGGAGGAGUACGCAGUGCUCAAGAGGAAGUGUCCGUCCACACGAGUCAACACCAGCCAGCGAGGCAGCACCACUGCACCAGCCGGGGGUCAGCCUCAGCGCGGCGAGGAAAAACGCCGCGCGUGUCGCCGUCGCCCAAAGAACUCCCGACCCGCUGGUUCUCUCCGCACUCGAAGUCUUUGCAUCUGCUGGCGGAAAAGCAGGCAGGCCGGGAGUGCCCGUCCGACGCAAAAGCUGCGCCCGCCUACACGAAAGUUGCGGCCGGUGACUUGGAAAGUCGCCGGUGACGUCGCCGUACCGGGCCAAGAAAAUUCGGUUGGAUCGCCGGGGAAAAAGAGAUCGACGGCAACGGGAUUCCAGCCGGCCGGCCCGGCUAGACUAUAGACUAGGCCCCCCCGGCGAGUAGGUAGUUGGACGGGACCGGCCGGCCGGCCGACGGAGCAUCCAUCCGCGAGAGCAAUUCGGCUCGAGUUCCAUAUGGGAAUGGAUGUGAUAGUGCAGCAGCGGCCUCGAGUGCCCUAAUUUGAAUAGAGAAGCGAGGCAUCUCCGAUCCGUGUUUGGGGGCAGAGCGAGAUAAACAUGCCGAGUCCGGCUUGUGAUUAUUCUAUGACGAGUGAUUUGCUUUGGCUUAGUGGUAAACAAGGUUUAGGGGGCAGGGCAUCAGGGUAGCAUGGAACCUUGCCGAACAUGAAAAGUUUGUUUGUGCUCCGAUGCUUCAAUUUGGACCAUCCGUCGAGGGCACUAAGUGCUCUGGAUUAGCAGGAAUCGAUUCGGGCCUCGAAGAUUAUAAGGAUAAAGCUAAGAUAAAGCUCACCGGCCUCAUGCUUCUCGCAUGAUUAAUAGUACCACUACCCUACUGGUUAGUGGUUACUACUACUACGAUAAAAUUAACCUUAGGUUAACAGGCUAUUCCAGAUAAGGCGGAGGAUAAUGACAUCACAUCAGGACUAGUACUAGUAGGCUGCAGGUAGCGUGAAGUACUGGAAACCGGAUUGCGGAUAACCCUCACAGCAUCUGCUGAAACCAUGCCUGUAUUUAGGCCACACCUUUUUUGCCCUGUGAUCAGGACUCUUCCUUUUAUGGAUGGAGAGAGAGGGGUGAAGACUCUCCUUAAGAGAGACAGAGAACCAAUAAAGACUGUCCUUAAGAGAGACGGAGAAUCAAAUAAGCACCGUGAACCCAAAAGAAGAAGAAGAAGAAGAAGAGAGAGAGAUAGAGACCAGCACCUGAAAGCAGCAUAAAAGGCAGUAUGUCUUCUUACUCUGCACAAGUAGUUAUCUGAAACCAGAGCUGAAGUGUUGAACAUUCGCG
rnacentral:lncRNA from 1 species